AGUGAACGCUGGCGGUAGGCCUAACACAUGCGAGUCGAACGGCAGCACAGUAAGAGCUUGCUCUUACGGGUGGCGAGUGGCGGACGGGUGAGGAAUACAUCGGAAUCUACUUUUUCGUGGGGGAUAACGUAGGGAAACUUACGCUAAUACCGCAUACGACCUACGGGUGAAAGCAGGGGAUCUUCGGACCUUGCGCGAUUGAAUGAGCCGAUGCCGGAUUAGCUAGUUGGCGGGGUAAAGGCCCACCAAGGCGACGAUCCGUAGCUGGUCUGAGAGGAUGAUCCGCCACACUGGAACUGAGACACGGUCCAGACUCCUACGGGAGGCAGCAGUGGGGAAUAUUGGACAAUGGGCGCAAGCCUGAUCCAGCCAUCCCGCGUGGGUGAAGAAGGCCUUCGGGUUGUAAAGCCCUUUUGUUGGGAAAGAAAAGCAGCAGGUUAAUACCCCGCUGUUCUGACGGUACCCAAAGAAUAAGCACCGGCUAACUUCGUG
rnacentral:rRNA from 1 species